rnacentral:rRNA from 1 species
AUUGAACGCUGGCGGCAGGCUUAACACAUGCAAGUCGAACGAGUGGCGGACGGGUGAGUAAUGCUUGGGAAUCUAGCUUAUGGAGGGGGAUAACUACGGGAAACUGUAGCUAAUAGCGCGUACCAUAGGAUGAGCCCAAGUGGGAUUAGGUAGUUGGUGAGGUAAAGGCUCGCCAAGCCGACGUUCUCUAGCUGGUGUGAGAGGAUGACCAGCCACUCUGGGACGGAGACACGGCCCAGCCUCCUACGGGAGGCGCCAGUGGGAAAUAGUGCACAAUGGGCGCAAGCCUGUUGAAGCCAUGCCGCGUGUAUGAAGAAGGCCCUAGGUUUGUAAAGUACUUUCAGUCGGGAUGCGUUACCGACAGAAGAAGCACCGGCUAACUCCGUGCCAGCAGCCGCGGUAAUAC